GUAGUGGUGGUUCAGAGGUAGAAUUCUCGCCUUCCAUACAGGAGUCCUGGGUUCGAUUCCUGGCCAAUGUA
rnacentral:tRNA from 1 species